GGCCUUGUAACCCUUUACAAAAGAACAUUGAAAUUUGCGGUAUGUCUUUGUUCUUUGUGAUUCAUCUUGUAAGUUUUACCUUAUACACUAUAUUACUCCAUCUUUUUUUGUUUUUUUCCCCAAGUUUGGGUCUUAUGUUUGACUCAAUUUGCUGUAUGAUGUGGUAACUUUUUGCUACAUUUCAUAUGGUACUGCUAUUCGUUCUCUCUCUCUCUCUCUAUCUCUCUCUCUCCCUCUCUCUCUCUUGUUUUUGUUUUGUUUUGUUUUAACUCUUCAACAUUGGCCUCCAAGUCAGCCUGCGACUGGUUUCUCUGUGGGACUCCAUGAGACGGUUAAAUUUGUUGCUCCUCCUGAGGAGGGGUUUGUGGAGCUUCCGCUUACAUCUUCUCUUGAAGAGGCAACAACUGAAUUAGCUUAUGGACCCUUACACAACUGGUGUAGGCUGACAUUUGUAAAUUGUAUUGAGGAGGCAUGAUUUUUCCAGCUUGCAUAGAAAGUAUAGUAAUAUUUGGACAUUGAAAACAGAUUUCUGGGCAAGACAAGCCCUCAAUGAACUUGCCUACGGUAAGUUCCUCUCACAAACCGAGGCCUCACCCUGUAGCGUAUAACGAAACGGGCGUUUCUCCAGAUUCCAUGAGGUUAUCAACAUCAUGCAGGUUUCAAGAUCACCAAGUAAACUAUUCACAAGGUGAUGCAUACUUUCAAGACAUCAUUGCGUUUAGAAACCCUCGUAUUUAAUAUUUACAACUUCUUCUGUUUUUGUGUUUAACAAAAUUUGCUUUCUUAUUCAGUGCGUGUCACUCCUGGUGUGUCUGUAAACCAGCCAAAUGGGUAUAGAUCCAAUUAUGACAACAAUGAUUAUGAGCAUUCUAAUGGAUAUAGAUCACAUUAUAACAGCAACAAUUAUGAUUACAGUCGAAGAGUGUUUGGGGCAGCAUUGGAUAAUAUUAAUCGCUCUAGGUUGGGCCGAUAUGAUACACGUGAUUCUACCAGUUAUUAUGCCACGUAUUGAUUUAUAAGAUAGGUGGAUACCAACUAUAACUUUUCAGGUAUGAAGCAAUGUUGCAGCUAUGAUAAUUCGGGUAGCAAAGUAGAAGGUUGUAUAUGUAUAGCUCAUGUUUAUGAUUUUAGCAUUUGUGUGUAUCUGCAUCUAUGGUGUUUGUGUUUUACCUUUGCACUUGUGAAACCUGAAUUUCUUGGAACUUUAUGUUGUUGUAGCAACGAGGUCAUUUCUAUGUUUGUACUUUGAAAUUGGAGAUCCUAGUAGUGAUAAUCAGUUGUAAUCAUUCAAUGGAUGACUUAUUCUCUUCUGUUUUAUUCUUUUUUAUUUCUGAACUGUAAUUUGCUGUUAUCCUGUAUGAUAGCUUAACAUAUAUGGCAUAUUUUUUUUUUUAAAAGUCUGAUUAUAUUACUCUGGAGAUAUGCCCUUUAGAUUUGGAAAAGAUUUUCCCUCUCAUUUAGUGAUUCUCCUUAAUGGAGCAACUUUUGUGGAACAAGCACGCACAAAUUCCUUUUCAAGUGUAAAGCUGGGGAUGAGUGUCAGGUACCAUAUGGCGUACCUGAUAAGUUUAUUCUCCGUAGAACUUGUGAUCUGUUGCAUUAACUGGAAAUCCAAGGUACUAUUUUUUGGCUGAAUCACUCCAGAAAUUAAUGUAUUAUUUUCAAGUAUGGGAAAAGAGCAGAGUUGAGCAGACGAGCAUUGUUCCUAUCAUGUACAAUUAGAUUGUUCAGUAUGCAUUUGUUCAUGUGUGCAACAUGUCGAGAUCAGUUGGUUUACUAGGAUUCUGUUUCUUGGUAACUGCUUUACGUUUUCAUUCUGAUUUGGUCUCGGGAAUCUGUGAUAUCUAUCUCGUCGUUUGAUUGUGUAGCUGCGUGCUGUAUAAGAAGCUUCAUUGCUUUUGGUUGUUUUGGGGCUUGUAAAAGUAAAAUUACCAAUCUGUUUGUUUUGGCAAAUGGGAAAGAUUUUUGGAACUUUUUAAUUAUACGUUGUUUUAUAGGCUUGCAGUCAAAUCUUGGUUUGGCUUCAGUAGAGCAGGAUUUUCUAGUCUGCUCCUUGCAAGAGGCCUGUAUUUGUCAUGAAAAUAGUUGAGGCUUGCUCUUGUACUGGCCAUAGCGAAUAACAACUGAUAAUUUAAAGCAUGCACUUGCAAUAUGUUUUCCCGUUUCUCACUGCAUUCCUUGCGCUUUUGUUCUUGCCCUACCCCUGCCCCUUCCUUCGACUUUCUUUUCAUGUUGUGGAGUCAGACGAAUGGAGGAGCAACUUUUGUGAUGUAAGAUGAUGUCCAUGGUUCUCAUUGUAGAGAAAAUUACAGAAAUAAUUGCUUGUGCUCUUAAAAAUCAUGUGCUUGCUAACGUUGCUCAGCAGGGGAUUAGUGGUCUAAUGCAAUCGUAGCUAGUUGGUUCCACCAGGUUUCCAUAAUUUGCCGGGUCAGUUUUUUGAUAUUCCAGGGUCUGAAUUCUGAUGCAGGCAAAAUAAAAUACUAUGGUUAAAAAGAAAAAAAAAGGACACAAAUUCUUCUACAAUUUAGAGAUGGGAUAAUAUGAAAUUGGGGAAAUAUGGAAGUGUAUGGGGUAAAAACUGAGAACUCAUAAUUACAAAGAGAAAUUCUCUUAAUGAACGCGAGUAAAAAUUAUCAACUGAAGAACUGGGCGUGGUUGUUGCGAGAGUGAACGCGACAUAUCCUAUUGGACGCGGGAGGAGGAACCGUAAUGUAAAACAUGUUCCUGUGUCUAUGGACUCGAUCAUCAUCAGUGAUUUCCGUAACCUUUUUAUCAGCCGCAUCGACACUUUCCAUCUUCAAUGGUACAGCCCCCGUGUACCAUACAAAAUCAAAUUUUAUGCCCUGACAGGACCGAAAACGUAUCGCUUGUACAAACUAAACAAAGCACUUGCUUUUUUUUUUUUUAAAAUUUUCCUAAUAGGAAGGGAUGAGAUUUAAGAUACAAAAAUGAGAAAGAAAGUUCUCAGAGAGAUUCUGACCUCAAUCUAUUUCAAAGCAAUAGCUUCGCUCGCAGGAAAAUGUUUUUAUAUGCUAACUGAAUACAAUUAAGCACACGUUUACUAUCUUUAUUUCUAAGUGAGAACUAAACGGGUGGUUGUUACUAAUGCUCAAUUCAAAAAUAAAAUAAUAAAGGGCAAUACCCAAUAUUCAGGUAGAGGUGGCAAUGGGUAGGGUAAUAUUUGAUACUUGUCCGAUAAUUAAUUCGAUUAGACGAUCGAUGGGUAAUCCGUUAGGAUUUGAUAUUGAUGAGAGGUAUUCGAUGGAUAAUCCGAUAGAGUUUGAUAAGAGAACUCUAAAAACUUGAAACUCGACAUAAAUACACGCAGAUAUAGUAGCAAUCUUUUCUACACAGACACUUAAUGAUCUUUUUAUAUUAAUAGCUUUGAAUGUAUGCAGUGAUUUUUUUUUUUUUUAACACUAACAUCUUUGAGUGAUUUUUUUUUUUCACACUAACAUCUUUGAAUGUAUGUUGCGUAUGUAUGAUGGCAUUUUCAUGUAGGUUACUCUCACGUAGGUUAUAUAUAUGACCCUACCAAAAUUUAAGAAUUCAAUUUAAUGUGUUGAUUAAAUAUUAUGUAUGUUUUAAUUUUAAUUUGAUAAUAGUUAAUUACCUUUUUCUCAAUUGUUCAAAUUAGCCGGGAGAGGAUAGCCCAUCAAUAAUGCAAACUCGAGAGCGAGAGAGUUUGGCAAUGAAAGUUAAAAUCUGUAAAGUUACCCGACGUGAUUGGUAAAAAAAUUUAGAUGUAUGGGUUUGAGUUUGACGAGGAAUGUUUUAAGGACAUGCGACCCGCUGCCAUCCCAGGCUUCAACCGAGCGAUUCCGCACAAAAGCACAAAUGAUGCAAUAGCAGGUAGUGUCUCUCAAGAAACAACAGAAUAUCUCUAAGCUUGAUGAUCUUUUUUACGCUUGAUUGAGCUGAUAUGAUGAAGGCAAGGCUGCAUUCUGUAGCAGGUCAUCUGAAUAGAAGAGGUCAACAGGAUGUCUUUCAGCUGAAUUUAAAGAUAACCCAGCUAGCCAAAAGAGGUGACAUUGAUGAGGCCGUCAGAGUAUUCAACGCAAUAGCACAUCCCAACGCUGUCACUUACAACUCGAUGAUCUCCGCCUAUGCUAAGAAUGGAAGAAUCAGUGAGGCUUGUGCUCUAUUUAAUCGAAUGCCAUUUAAGAACUUGAUUUCCUGGAACACAAUGAUGAGCGGUUACUUGUAUAAUGACUAUUUUAAAGAAGCAGCUGACUUAUUUGAUAAAAUGCGUCGAAGGGACUCUUUUACUUACAGUCUCAUGAUUACUUGUUAUGCACGUAGCGGUUUCGUAGAAAAAGCAAGGCGAAUAUUUGAUUCGAUGCCCGAUAAGAGUUGUGCAGCGUGUUGGAAUGCACUGAUUACAGGGUAUGUCAAGAAUGGGAUGCUCAGCGAUGGUAGGAAAUUGUUCAAUGAAAUGCCAGUGAGGAACUUGGUUUCGUGGAAUACAAUGCUCUCCGGAUAUACCCGUAGCGGGCAAAUGUGUUUGGCUGCUAAGUUUUUCGAAGUGAUGGAAGAAAAGGAUUGGGUUUCGUGGAAUUUGGUGUUAGAAGGGUACACGCAAGCUGGUGAUCUGCAUGCUGCUAGGGAGUUUUUUGAAAGGAUUCCCAAUCCAAGUGUUGUUUCUUGGGCCACAAUGUUGAGUGGCUUAGCAAGGCAUGGCCACCUUUCAGAGGCAGAGGGAUUCUUUAACAACAUGACGGAGAGAAAUGUUGUUGCUUGGAAUGUGAUGUUGGCUGCAUACAUUCAGAAUUGCAAGGUUGACAAGGCAGUAGAGUUAUUUAAUGAGAUGCCAGAGAAGGAUGCUAUAUCAUGGACUACCAUCAUCAGUGGUCAUGUCCGAAUUGGUCAGCUUGAAGAAGCAAAGAAAUUGUUGGAUAGAAUGCCUUAUGAAAAUGUAGGGUCACAAACAGCCAUGAUACUUGGCUUUAUUCAGAACAAUAGGAUGGAUGACGCCCGUCAAAUUUUUGAUCGCAUGAGGAAACGUGACACUGUCUGUUGGAACACGAUGAUCGCGGGAUAUGCUCAACAUGGAAGAAUGGAUGAAGCUUUCGAUCUAUUUCAAAAUAUGGCCCCAAAGAAAAUAGAUACUUGGAACACCAUGAUUGCGGGCUAUGCUCAAGUAGGAAAAAUGGAGAGAGCACUUGAGUUGCUUGAGCAAAUUGAGGAAAAGAAUGUAGUUUCUUGGAAUUCCAUAAUUUCAGGUUAUGCACAAAAUGGGUUAUACAUGGAUGCACUCAAGAGUAUUUUACUCAUGAUUCGUGAUGGAAAGAAGCCUGAUCAAUCUACUUUUGCUUCUGGCCUAAGGGUCUGUGCGAGUCUUGCAGCUGAGCAAUUUGGGCAGCAACUUCAUCACAUUGUGGUGAAAAAUGGUUAUAUGAAAGAUAUGCUUGUCAGUAAUGCUCUAAUUACGAUGUAUGCCAAGUGUGGAAGUAUCUUGAGUGCCAGAGAUGUAUUCAGUGAUGUUGAUAACCUUGACGUGGUAUCCUGGAAUUCUUUGAUAGCGGGCUAUGCUCUAAAUGGAUAUGGGAUAGAGGCAUUCAAACUUUUCCAAGAAAUGGAAGGAUAUGCUGUCAAUCCUGAUCAAGUUACUUUUGUUGGGGUUCUUUCUGCAUGUAAUCAUGCAGGCUUAGUUUCUGCAGGUCUAACCUUGUUCAAUUGCAUGACGCAGAAGUAUGGCAUUGAACCUUUGGCUGAACAUUAUACUUGCAUGGUCGAUAUGCUUGGCAGAGCAGGAAGGUUAGAGGAAGCCUUUGAGUUAGUCAGGAAAAUGAAGGUCCAAGCCACUGCAGGAAUAUGGGGUGCUCUUCUUGGGGCUUGUCGCUUGCAUAAAAAUGUGAUGCUUGCUGAUUUUGCUGCUAGGAAGCUUUUUGAAAUUGAACCUCAUAAAACAUCAAGUUUAGUGCUUCUCUCAAAUGUUUAUGCUCAGUCAGGGAGGUGGGAUGAGGUCGAUAGAGUUAGAAAUUUCUUGAAUCAGAAUGGCAUUGAAAAGGAGCCAGGAUGCAGCUGGAUUGAGGAUCAAUGCCAGAUAUCGGUCUUUCAAUCUGAUGAUUAUUCAUGGCCAAAAACAGCAGAGAUGUAUAGGGCAUUACAGAUUUUAACAACACAGAUUAUGGAGCUUUCCUGUUUAAAUAGUAUUGAGUGUACUCUUCUUGAUGUUGGAUGAUUUAUUUCAUCACAUGCAUCAAAUAAAGCUUUAGCGGUACUUCAAAAUGCCUUCCUGCAAAUUCACUUGUUCAGGCUCUUUUUGGUACUCGUUGAGAACUAUCUUGGCUUUGCAUGCAUGAAGAUGAUAUUGGUACUUGCUUAGGUAUUGUUCUAAUAAUCUUGUACUUACUAUUUGGAAGAUAUUUGGUGCUAAUAUCCAAUACUGGGGAUGUUAUAUUGCAUGAAACUCUUGAAUGCUACUGCUUAAACUUCAACUGCAGAAAAAGCAGUAGGCUUCAGAAAAUAGCUGACAGCACCCACCUCCUUGCCACUUCCUCGUUUUCUUCUCCUGAAAUCCUCUUUUCAUGUAGUUAAGUAUUUUCAGAAUUUAUAUUUGUUUCCCUUUAUUUAAAAAAAAUUGUUUCCCUUUUGCGUUCAUUGUCUGUUAAAAUUUCUUGCUGAUUUUAAUUGUGUAGAUAGAACUGCCAGAUGGAUUCAAUAAUGGAGCAAAGCUUCUGGUGAAUUUAGAUCUGAAUAUGUUUCUCGUCUUUGUGACUCUUAUAGUAUUUUUAAGUUCUUCAUCUAGAGCACAAAUAGAUGUACAUAUUAAAUGAGAUGAAGCAGUUCAGAGAUGCUUAGAUUACUUUCAAAUUUUAAAAUUUAACUAAGCGGUGACCCAUUUCAUGUCUCAUGAAUGUAGAUCCUACAUGUGAGUAGAGUUGUAUGGUACCAUCUGAGGAUGAUCCUGUCAUGAGCUAAUUCAGAAGUUUGGCACACAGGAAAUUUAACAUCUGUAAGUGCUGUAAAUUCCACGUUUACUUGCACUUUUUCCAUCUCCAUAUAUGGUUUAACUGCUUUUAGUUUCGAAAACUCAUACUAUCAUAAACCUAACUAUGAAAAUGAUGCUAAAAUAGAACAAGCUCCCAAUAAGCCACGAAUACUACAAUAGGUUACCUGUUUACAUCACAUAAUUGAUAUUCCAUUUACAUCUGAAGACAAAUUACGAAAGGAGCCUACAUUUGAUUUCUUAUUUGUAUUACAUUUUCUUGAAACAGGACACAUAUUCAACACGAAUUAUUAUUCUGAUGGAGCUAGUCACAAACUCUAAAUUGACGAGUGACUAAUGAGGCUAUCAAAAUCAACCUACCGCUAGAUCCCAACCCCAUAUGCAUGAACAGACAAAUAUAAGACACGUGAAGCAAAAGAUAAGAGUGUGUAGAACACGGUGAAUGUCAGAUUCAAUGUAAGACAUGUGAAGCCCUGUAUCUCAGGGCUUGGUAAAGCUCUGUAUCUUUAAAGGACUUUGCAAUAUGAAGUUCUUCAUGCUCAUUUUGUAUUAUAAUAGUAUUAUUGUUUGAAACUUUCCUUUUGGGAAAUUAUGCAGGAGAAAGCUGUACUAAAUUCCUGUUUAGAGAGCCUCUUAAUACAAGAAUAUUGUAAUCUUUCAGGUACCAAAAACUCUUUGAUUAGUAGUUAUGCCUUUGGGUCACUUCAUAUUGACUUAACAAUUCAGCGUAAUUAUGAAUUAUGAACUCUUUUGAUCAAUCUUGACACAAAUGUCAACUUCUAAACGUGUAUGUCUGGAUAGUAAUUCAACUACCUGAUGUAAAUGAAUGCAUUUACUAAGAAUGACUUUCGGUAGUUCUAUGUAUGAUCUUUAUCUUAGUUAAAAGCUGCUCCACUUUGAAUUUGAUUACCUUCUGUAGUAUUACUAAUACUAUUGACUUCUUCUGCAUGUCCAGAAAUUUUUUUAAUGCAAAUUUAUUGAUAGAUGUUUACAUAAGGAAGUAACAUAUCAUUCUGAUGAACUGGGAGGGAAGACUAGUGUGAGAAGGUUGUUCUUUGACCUUCUUAACACUGUACUAUUAACUGUGUAUACGUAGUAUUUGAUCUUCGCAACGUUAUGGUUUUGCCAUAGUUUUCAUUUUAGUACAAGAAACUCGAUGAUUCUACUAUGUCAACAACAAAAAUUUGUGUGCACACUUUCUUAUUGCAGUUCUGGUGAAUUAAUGUUGGCAAUAGGUCAGAUUUUGUUGUUUGAGUUUUUCAAUGACUACCUUACUGAGACUCAGCAGAAAUUUGAUGACCUGAGUAUGGUGUUUAUGAUCAACUGGUAUUGCAGUUCAAUAUGUAUAUCUCUUUUGGCUCUUGGCUCUGAUCAUCUCUCCCCAGAUCAUGCAAAUUAGGUUUUUACAACGUUCAAACCAUAUGGUUCCAUUUUCGGCGUUUGUUUCUUAGCUGUCCAACUCUUAUGUAACAUAUUUAUUAGUAGACAACUUAGGCUUCUUUGAACAAAUUCAACAACUUAAGUUUCAAGUUCAGCAGUAGCAAGAAUGUCCGUUUUCUGAAACUCAUUUGUUUUGUCGCUCUCUAUCUGAAUGACUGCCCCCCCCCCCCCCCCCCGGCCGCGGGGGAAGAGAAGAAAAGAAAAGAAAAGAGAAACAAGAGUUUGGAAUAGGUAAUUCUGCAGAGAACUGCUUAUAAACUAUCCACUGAACUCCAACACCAUUUUCUGCACAUUAUCCACUAAAUACCAAGACGAUCAUCUGUCCAUAGGCAUGCGUCAAGAAUUCAUGAUAUGCCGUUCAAGAAAAGGCAGGCAAUUCAAUCAAGUUAAAUAACUUAUCCACAAUGCUAUUAUAUAAUAUUUUCCCAAAAAAAAUUUUUUUUUGAAUUGAUUCACAAGUUACUGAGAUUUGCAAUGACCUGGACCAAUGCCAAGUUGAUGAGUUGAAGAAAGAUCUGACGUGACAAAGCCAUAUAAUGGAGCGAUCUACGGAACAGCAUCAAGAUGCCCUCGCCUGGUUAAUUCCAGAAUAUUACGCACUGCCUGCAUCUGCAUGAUUUUUCUUUUUUUUGGUACUUAGAAAUUCGCAACGGAUCUUCUGUACCAUACCCUGUCUCACAUCCUGUCCCACUCCUUAAAAUCUCGCCAAGUGUCUAUAAGUUGCUCUGCAUGGAAUAAAUUGUUACAUAUGGCCGAAGAAAGUUUUGAAGGAUUGUUUCUAUUGUAUUUGUAUGCUCUGUCUCUUUGUUCUGGAGAUGUGCAACACCUUCAGCAUCAAAAUUUUUGCAGCAGUUGAUUGGAGUUCUAUUAACUGGUCUAUUGGAUUCUAUCUGGAACUACUUCUGACUAAGGCUCUAACUAGUCCGCUAAUAUAAUUCUUUGACAGGAAUAUGAUGUUGAAGAUUCUCUUUUGCCCCUUCAGCCAGCACUGGACUACACUGCUCCUGAACUUGUUCGAAGUAAAGCAUCUACAGUUGGAUCUGCCUCUGAUAUCUUCAGUUUUGCUUGUCUUGCCUACCACUUGGUUGCUCGAAAACCGUUGUUUAAUUGUCACAACAAUGUCAAAAUGGUAUUUAUCUAAUAUUUCCUGGCGCAAUGAUUUGCACAAUUUAUGGGUGGAGUAGGAGAUUUGAGAUUGUAACAAUGAAUUGCUGUAUGGUUAUAAGAUGACAACAUUACGACUAAAAUAGAUACUCUGCUAAAAUCAAUAAUAGUCUGGUUAAUUGGUCUCUUGAAUGAGAAGUACAGUUGUUUUCCUGUUCUGUUGGAUUAUUCAUUGCUGCCUCAAAAUAGUGUGUAUCUUUAUUAUAGAUGUGUUCAUAUGUUUAAUUUACAUGGUAAUAGCAUAUGUAACUUUUUAUACUAAUGUCCCUAUGCAACUCGAGUGCAGUACAUGAAUACUUUGACAUACUUAUCCAGUGAGGCUUUCUCGUCAAUACCGCGGGACUUGGUUUCGGACUUGCAAAGGAUGCUUUCUUCUAACGAGGCUUUGAGGCCAACAGCAAUGGACUUUACAGGUAAGGAUGUGAUACUAUCUUCGCACACAUAUGCUUUGGUGAUACUGUAUGAGAUGAACAUCUGGGAAGUAGCAUUUUGGGAGAAUUCCUGUCCUAGUUUUCUUUGAAGCUUUUUUGUUUUUGUUUUGGAUGGUUGGGCUAGGGGGAAGAUGGCAGAUACUCCUCUAUAGUAUUUUAACAAGAAAGAGAAACACAAUCUCUAAAUAAUUGUAGGAUGUGAAAAAUAGAUGGAGAGCAUCUGGAAUGUGGUAGUAAAAUGGUCUUUUUGUCUUUGUGGUUGUAAGUUAAUGAGGCUUUGGACUAGCAAUUUAACUAUUGUUUAGAGGAGGCUUUGUGGUUUGUGAGCGUGCGUAAUGUUGAAUUGCUUUACUUCUGUUCUUAUUGUGUUUAGGAUUUUUAUUUAGGCGUAUCUUGUUAUUCUAUAUAACCAAAUGUACAUUCCUUCUUUGCAGGGUCACCUUUUUUUCGUGAUGACACUAGGUUGCGUGCACUUCGUUUCCUGGAUCACAUGCUUGUAUGCUUUUUUAUAUUAGUUUGACAGCCAGAGGCUUAGCAAGGACAAUUAUUUUUUGUAGUAGAAUGUUAUGGAACCUUGAGUAUUCCUGCUCAAACUCUGCUUGAUUGCAGGAAAGGGAUAACAUGCAGAAGACUGAGUUUCUAAAAGCAUUAUCAGACAUGUGGAAAGAUUUUGAUCCGCGUGUCUUGCGGUAUAAGGUUUGUUUUUCUGCUUCCUUUUGUGUAAUAUGACUUUAUAACGUUGUCUGACAUACUUCUUUGUGCUGUAUGUGCUUUUAUAUUUUUUACAGAACCAAAGAACUAGAUGAUUGCAGGAAUAAUUGAUUUCAUGAUGUCUGAAGUCCCUUUUAGAUGAUUCUACAGUGAUUUUGGAUAUUUAACCAAGUUGACUCCUGGUUACCUUGUUUCACUGUGUAUUUAGACUCCAAAACAUCGCAUGAAACCGUUCUCUUGCCUUAACAUCUCUGAUAGUGCCCCCACAGAUAAAGAGGAGAAACGGAAAAAGAGAAAAGAGUUAGUAAAUAGGGUAUUGUUAAGCAGCAAGUCAUACCGAUGUUGGACAUGGAUGAGACAUUUUAAUUCCUUUUGCUGUGGAAAGAGUUUUAAUGAGAUGGCUCUUAUCUUGAUGAUCUUUGCAGGUACUUCCACCACUUUGUUCUGAGCUUCGGAAUCUGGUCAUGCAGCCAAUGAUACUUCCCAUGGUUCUUACAAUAGCAGAGUCUCAGGUACCAUUGAUGCUAAUGCCUGCAAAUCUUGAUCCAUAUGCCCAUGUUCAAUGACAAAAUAAGGAGCCUUCAUUUUUGAGCCUGAACUUGAACAUGGCCAAACAGUUGACUUUUGCCUGUGUGUUUAAUGUGUUCCCCAUGUUGCCAGCUAUGUUAAAUCUUCUGCUGUUCGCUGUGAAAGAUGUUAAGCUACAUUUUAUUCUUAUUUCUUUUUAUAUUUCAAGUAAAAUAUUGAUAGAGAUUCAUAUGGUUUAUCACAUUGAUAAGAUAAGCUUCUCAGUGCCAUGCUGUCAACAAGUUUAGAUCUGGAAGGUUUUGAGAUUUAUGAAAAAGUUGGACUUCAUUAAACAGAAUGGCAGGGUAGUCUAGGAUUAGUUGUUGAAAGAAAGUCAUAGUAUUCAAGGAAAAAAGUUAAAAGUCUCUUUGCAGUCCUUUAGUCAUGCAUGAUUCGACCAAAUUGGUUUCCAGAAAGAUUAAUUCAGGGAAUACUCUAGCAUGUGCAAUGUAAAGAAUUUCACUUGCACUCUUCACAAAGUCUAUAGCAUUUCCUGCAAUGGUUCGCAUAAGCUCUCACAGGCGAGUUUGAAAUGAGUGUUUCUUUUGGUUUAAUAUGUCAUAUAGAUUAAAGAGGUGAUAAAAUUGAGGACCUUCCAAGAAUGCUGUGUCUGGAUAUCAUGUUCAGGUUUUUCUGCCAAUGAAGCAAAACAUCUUAACAAAAUCGAUUAUUUGAAGACAUAUGUUAACUCAGUCUACUCCAGACCAAUGGGCUCUGGUUGAUGUGAUUUCUCCUACUACUAUUUUUUAUCAAGAUAUGUUGUGCAGUACCAUUUUGAAACGCUUAUAAUUUACGAAAAUUAACAAUGAUAUUGUGGCAUUAUGAAACUUUUUUGUUUUAUUAUUCGUUUGCUUACUGCACAACCCUUGCCUCAGGCUCUGAUUGCUGGGUCAUAGAGAAAUGAUUAUCUUGCUUGUUCGUGUGGACCAUAUUAUGAUAUUGUCUGAUAAAUGUGAAGUUUGGUAGGAGAUAAUUAUGAAACUUGUAUAUCACAUAAUUCGUAGAUUUAUGUGUAUAAGAAUUUUGCAGGACAAAAAUGAUUUUGAGCUGUCUACUCUUCCAGCUCUUGUUCCUGUCCUAAAUAGUGCUGCAGGUGAGACAUUGUUGCUACUUGUGAAGCAUGCCGAGCUUAUUAUCAAUAAGGUAACAGAGAUAGCUUUGAAGAACUUCUGCUAAUGCAAGAAAUUGCUUUUGGAUGUCCUGUUUUUCUUUUGGUCAAUGCCUUUACAUUUUCUCUUUGUUAAUUUCUUAUCAUAGAAUUUUUUCCUUUUAGGUUCAUAUCAACUUAAUGAUUAGGAGAUAAAUCUGAUUUGUUUAGUAAAAUGUCUUUAAUUCGUAUGCAGAAAUUGGUAAUUAACUAAUUGUUCUUGGGAAUCUAUAUUAGUUGUAAGAGUGGUUCACUUUAUGGUAGCUCUUUGUGAUUUUUAUGUAUUACUCAAUUAAAGGAGACUGCCAUAUGUGUUUGUUUAUUUAGAACUUGAUAAGCCCUUGCCUGUGAAAAAUUUUAGUUUGUCUGAACUAGUUCUGUUAUGCCAUUUAAUGUACAAAUGGCUAUUAUCUGUUUUGAAGUGUUAGUUUUGAGGUUCAGAAAAAGUGACAAUUUAAGCUCAGUGCAGCAGGCUUCACCCGAAAAGAUAAUCAAGCUGUGGGAGUUGGUCAUUUUUUGUGUACUUGUAGAUUUACAUGCAAGGAAAAAAAAAAUCAACCUGUGGGAAAAGGGGAAAAGAUCAAGCUGUGGGAGUCGGUCAUUUUAUGUGUACUCGUAGGUUUACAUACAGAAAACUUGAAGUUCAGUUCCUAUUCCCGUCACUCCUGACACCACUCAAUUAAAGUUGUCUUUGCUGGGAUUGUUUUAUGUCAUGGUGUUGAUAAUUUUCCUAGAAGCAUUGAUUGAUUACUUGGUAGUUGGUAUGGAAUUAGGGGUAUUGAUGCAAUUGCUGUAAGUUUUCUUAGUGAGUAUUAAGGUGCUGCUUUAACUUGCCUAAUUGGACUUGUUUAAGUGGAUGGAUUAGUCUGGUGAAUUAUCUUCAUUUCUCCCAAUCCUUUUGGGGAGUGUCUGAAUAAUAUUUAGUCCAGUGAUGAAAUGGGCGUUGAUUAUUGGAUGUGGAGUUAUUCUCAAAGCAUUGAACCCUUGUAGUUUUACAUGCAAAAGCUAUUUUGGUCUUUCAUUUUUGCUUAUAAUUCUGUUUUAUCCGUCUAUGAUGUAAUGAAAAUUUCCAAGAAACUCCUCCCAGUAGCUGCAUUGUGAUUGUAGUGCUUUCUGGUCGUUGGUUUAUAUAUACUUUUAGGUGUCCACUAAUAAAGUUUGACUUGGCUAUGGUGUCCUAGACUAUGACUGGGAACAUGUAAUAAUAAAUUCUAGCUGAGCUGGCUUUGGAAGGGAUUUGAAAUGUAGCUCUCCAGUACAUUAGAAUUCAUAAAUGGUAAUUUUCCAAAUGGUUUCAUGGGAAAGCCUUAUCCUGCCUUUCAAGAGUGAAUCCAAUUUUGGGACUAUUACUAGUAAUGUCUAGACUGGAAAAUUUGAAACGAAAGUAUUUUGGUGAGAGGAUUUUAUUCUCGAAAGUAGUUGUUUCUGUUCCAUCCUCAUUUUUAAAUGAGAAGAAGAUACUGUGAGAAAUUUAGUUGAACUAAUUACAAUUAAAAUGCUUUCCACUUGCAGUUUUGGUUUAUUGUUGGUUUAGAUAACCAUUGUGUUUUAAACUCUCUGUUUUUUUCUUUGCCUUGUUAUUAAGCUGCUAAGUAGUUAAAAGAUGGGUUAUGACCAUGGCUUAUACUCAUUUAACUAGCAAUUUUUACAUGUUUUAUCAGGCUAGUCAUGAGCACUUGAUUUCCCAUGUUCUACCGAUGCUUGUUCGAGCUUAUGAUGACACUGAUGCUCGUAUGCAAGAGGAAGUUCUGAAAAAGACUGUAUCGCUUGUUAAGCAGCUUGAUGUUCAGGUAAUUGGCAAGUGCAUAGCCAUUCUUAUUAUUUAGUGUGUGUUAGCUUAGUGCUUCUCAAGACCCUUUUUUCUUGUCAAUUUGGAUAUUCAUGUGUAUCUUUUGCAGUAGCAAACUUGUAUUGUGUUGUUAUCAUAUAAUUUACAGUUUAGGGAUGGCAGACUAGUUUUAGCCUGAUGUCUUGGUCCUCUAAUAAUUUCUUAAUGAAUCAUAGCCUUUAAAUGGCAAGAUUUCUGGAGUGUUUUCGUUUCUAUUCUUGCACUGAUGAUUAGUAAGUGGUGAGCUCUGAGAAUAUUAGGCUUAAUGAUAAGUUUUCUCGAUUGUUCAGGAGGAUAUAAUUGGUUUGGUGUGAAGAUAUAAAUGUCUCACUUGCUACAGGAUAGUGUACUCAUACGUCUUCUUGAUGUCCAUCUUUUCUGGAUAUUUGCUUCUUAGUGAUAAUGUGAUUCAGCCCUGGAUAUUCUUGUCCUUUAAUGGUCUUCCAAUGAUUCUUCAUAGUUCUCCUCAAGCACAUCUCUACAGCACCUGAAAACCGACCAUAAUGGUUUGGUGGUUGUAGCAUAUUGCAACUAUCAUUGUCUGUUAUUUUUGAUUUUAGAAUAGCAUUAGCUAACCUAUCUGCGUUG
rnacentral:lncRNA from 1 species